CCUAGUGGUUAGAGCCUAGAGGUGGCAGGGUAUCCUAGUGGUUAGAGUGUAGAGGUGGCAGGGUAGCCUAGUGGUUAGAGUGUAGAGGUGGCAGGGUAGCCUAGUGGUUAGAGUGUAGAGGUGGCAGGGUAGCCUAGUGGUUAGAGUGUAGAGGCGGCAGGGUAGCCUAGUGGUUAGAGUGUAGAGGCGGCAGGGUAGCCUAGUGGUUAGAGUGUAGAGGCGGCAGGGUAUCCUAGUGGUUAGAGUGUAGAGGCGGCAGGGUAGCCUAGUGGUUAGAGUGUAGAGGUGGCAGGGUAGCCUAGUGGUUAGAGUGUAGAGGGGGCAGGGUAGCCUAGUGGUUAGAGUGUAGAGGCGGCAGGGUAGCCUAGUGGUUAGAGUGUAGAGGCGGCAGGGUAGCCUAGUGGUUAGAGUGUAGAGGCGGCAGGGUAGCCUAGUGGUUAGAGUGUAGAGGUGGCAGGGUAGCCUAGUGGUUAGAGCGUAGAGGGGGCAGGGUAGCCUAGUGGUUAGAGUGUAGAGGCGGCAGGGUAGCCUAGUGGUUAGAGUGUAGAGGCGGCAGGGUAGCCUAGUGGUUAGACUGUAGAGGUGGCAGGGUAGCCUAGUGGUUAGAGUGUAGAGGUGGCAGGUAGCCUAGUGGUUAGAGUGUA